GCGAAAGCGAUGAGAGGAACGAGUAGCGGGAUGCCUUCCUUAUCAGAGAGCCGGUGGGCGGUGCGAACCGGCAGGGAGCUCCUGUGAAUCCAUCCUCGAGCAAAACGUUGAACGCCCAAAAGGGCCAGUAGGCGUUUUCGGCCGCCGCCGUUAACGGCAAAAGGGGAAGGCAUAGCAAGCCUUCAAUAAGGGUGGCACCGCGGGAUGGCUCCCGUCCCUUUU
rnacentral:ncRNA from 1 species